CGCGGCCUAUCAGCUUGUUGGUGGGGUAAUGGCCUACCAAGGCGACGACGGGUAGCCGGCCUGAGAGGGUGACCGGCCACACUGGGACUGAGACACGGCCCAGACUCCUACGGGAGGCAGCAGUGGGGAAUAUUGCACAAUGGGCGAAAGCCUGAUGCAGCGACGCCGCGUGAGGGAUGACGGCCUUCGGGUUGUAAACCUCUUUCAGUAGGGAAGAAGCGUAAGUGACGGUACCUGCAGAAGAAGCACCGGCUAACUACGUGCCAGCAGCCGCGGUAAUACGUAGGGUGCGAGCGUUGUCCGGAAUUAUUGGGCGUAAAGAGCUUGUAGGCGGUUUGUCGCGUCUGCUGUGAAAAUCCGGGGCUCAACCCCGGACUUGCAGUGGGUACGGGCAGGCUAGAGUGUGGUAGGGGAGACUGGAAUUCCUGGUGUAGCGGUGAAAUGCGCAGAUAUCAGGAGGAACACCGAUGGCGAAGGCAGGUCUCUGGGCCACUACUGACGCUGAGAAGCGAAAGCAUGGGGAGCGAACAGGAUUAGAUACCCUGGUAGUCCAUGCCGUAAACGUUGGGAACUAGGUGUGGGUCUCAUUCCACGAGAUCCGUGCCGCAGCUAACGCAUUAAGUUCCCCGCCUGGGGAGUACGG
rnacentral:rRNA from 1 species